GACGAACGCUGGCGGCGUGCCUAAUACACGCAAGUUGAGCGCUGAAGGUUGGUACUUGUACCAACUGGAUGAGCAGCGAACGGGUGAGUAACGCGUGGGGAAUCUGCCUUUGAGCGGGGGACAACAUUUGGAAACGAAUGCUAAUACCGCAUAAAAACUUUAAACACAAGUUUUAAGUUUGAAAGAUGCAAUUGCAUCACUCAAAGAUGAUCCCGCGUUGUAUUAGCUAGUUGGUGAGGUAAAGGCUCACCAAGGCGAUGAUACAUAGCCGACCUGAGAGGGUGAUCGGCCACAUUGGGACUGAGACACGGCCCAAACUACUACGGGAGGCAGCAGUAGGGAAUCUUCGGCAAUGGACGAAAGUCUGACCGAGCAACGCCGCGUGAGUGAAGAAGGUUUUCGGAUCGUAAAACUCUGUUGGUAGAGAAGAACGUUGGUGAGAGUGGAAAGCUCAUCAAGUGACGGUAACUACCCAGAAAGGGACGGCUAACUACGUG
rnacentral:rRNA from 1 species